GGACGCUAAUACCGCAUACCUCCUACAGGAGAAAGCAGGGGACCUUCGGGCCUUGCGCUAUCAGAUGAGCCUAGGUCGGAUUAGCUAGUUGGUGGGGUAAUGGCUCACCAAGGCGACGAUCCGUAACUGGUCUGAAAGGAUGAUCAGUCACACUGGAACUGAGACACGGUCCAGACUCCUACGGGAGGCAGCAGUGGGGAAUAUUGGACAAUGGGCGAAAGCCUGAUCCAGCCAUGCCGCGUGUGUGAAAAAGGUCUUCGGAUUGUAAAGCACUUUAAUUUGGGAGGAAGGGCAGUAUAUUAAUACUUUGCUGUUUUGACUUUACCGACAGAAUAAGCUCCUGCUAACUCUGUGCCACAACCGC
rnacentral:rRNA from 1 species